rnacentral:lncRNA from 1 species
GGGAUCUUUAUUCAAAACGAACUGAUGUAGCUCCCCUAGGCUUUUAUUCUGCGUUGGCGGGGGUGAUAGAACGGAGACCAGUGAGUGAGCUCAAUCUGAUUUACAAUUCAGGCCUAUAUUGAUCAUUUAUUGGUAAAUAACAAUGCCUUGGUCCCUGUCACAGUCCCUGUAAGGUAAGGACUGGGAAUAUGGAACAAGAUUAUUGUGGAUAAUUCUGUUGCCAUCCAUCUUAGCUGUUGUGGUGGAGAUUGUGGUGAGGAAGGAGACCAGAAGAUGACGACGACAAUGACACAGCAGAAGGGCCGGGUUACACUUGGGCUUCUUUCUUUGAAGUCUGAGAAGACAGUCUGUCAGGCCGAGCUCAUUACACUAAGGUCCAUGUAACCAGUGAAGCGGCCAUUAUACAUGAUUUGGUCUACAGUUGUUGGAAAAGCUCCACAAGGGGAUCUCCUGGAAGCCAUUGCAAUCAGAGCUAGAGUCAAAUCAAGGCCAGCCUGGGCUACGUGGAAGAACCUCAUUUUGGAAAAGUGAAAUGCUUAACAUGCAAUUGGUUCAAUGACUUUUGGAAAGUG